rnacentral:lncRNA from 1 species
AUAUUCCACAUUUUGUUUAUCCAUUCAUCAGUUGAUGGACAUUUGGAUUUUUUCCACUUUCUACUUAUUAUGAAUAAUGCUGCUAUGGACAUUCGCAGAGAAGCCUUUGUGUGGCCAUAUGUUUUCAUGUCUCUUGGAUAAACACCUACGUGUGAUAUUGUGGAGUCAUAUGCCAUCCACUGCCAUCUCUCCAGGGCCUAGGUCAAGCCACCAUCACUGUUAUGAUGUCUCGAUUUUGAAACCUACUGAGAAAAGCCCUGCUCUAGACCUAACUUCCAGUUUAUAAAAAACAAAAGAGAUAGAGGAGUGAUUU